GAUGAACGCUGGCGGCGUGCCUAAUACAUGCAAGUCGAGCGAACGGACGAGAAGCUUGCUUUUCUGAUGUUAGCGGCGGACGGGUGAGUAACACGUGGAUAACCUACCUAUAAGACUGGGAUAACUUCGGGAAACCGGAGCUAAUACCGGAUAAUAUUUUGAACCGCAUGGUUCAAAAGUGAAAGACGGUCUUGCUGUCACUUAUAGAUGGAUCCGCGCUGCAUUAGCUAGUUGGUAAGGUAACGGCUUACCAAGGCAACGAUGCAUAGCCGACCUGAGAGGGUGAUCGGCCACACUGGAACUCAGACACGGUCCAGACUCCUACGGGAGGCAGCAGUAGGGAAUCUUCCGCAAUGGGCGAAAGCCUGACGGAGCAACGCCGCGUGAGUGAUGAAGGUCUUCGGAUCGUAAAACUCUGUUAUUAGGGAAGAACAUAUGUGUAGUAACUGUGCACAUCUUGACGGUACCUAAUCAGAAAGCCACGGCUAACUACGUG
rnacentral:rRNA from 1 species